rnacentral:rRNA from 1 species
AGUGAACGCUGGCGGUAGGCCUAACACAUGCAAGUCGAACGGCAGCACAGUAAGCGCUUGCUCUUACGGUUGGCGAGUGGCGGACGGGUGAGGCAUACAUCGGAAUCUACUUUUUCGGGGGGGAUAACGUAGGGAAACUUACGCUAAUACCGCAUACGAUCUACGGGUGAAAGCAGGAGAUCUUCGCACCUUGCGCGACUGAAUUAGCCGAUGUCGGAUUAGCUAGUUGGCGGGGUAAAGGCCCACCAAGGCGACGAUCCGUAGCUGGUCUGAGAGGAUGAUCAGCCACACUGGAACUGAGACACGGUCCAGACUCCUACGGGAGGCAGCAGUGGGGAAUAUUGCACAAUGGGCGCAAGCCUGACCCAGCCAUACCGCGUGGGUGAAGAAGGCCUUCGGGUUGUAAAGCCCUUUUGUUGGGAAAGAAAAGCAGCAGGUUAAUACCCCGCUGUUCUGACGGUACCCAAAGAAUAAGCACCGGCUAACUUCGUG